UGGCCGAGCAGCUUUCUGGUCGGCGAUCUUUGGCCGAGCAGCUCUCCGUUCGGCACUCUUUGGCCGAGCAACUUUCCGGCUGGUGCUCUUCGGCCGAGCGCCUCCGUGAAUGUAUGGCUUAGGGUUCUUCCCCCAACAAAAUGCUUUGCCUUCUUUAAAAUGUUUUGCCUCUAAGUCUAAAAAUUAUAAAUAUGUGAUUAAAAUUUAUGUAAUAUCUUCCCACUUUGAUCAAGCAUGUUUCCUUUGUCAAAUGUCGGCAAGAUGACAGUAGGGUUGACAUGGAGUGCAGAAGAUUACUGUAGCCAAAAGUCACUGUUACUACUUAGAUAUCUCUUUGUUAAUACACGAGCAAUGGUAUAUGACUCCCAUAAAGUGCACAUAAACAAUUCUCUUGGCAGGUAACAAGGAAAAAUUGAUGCAAUUCACGUACAUCACCAUUUUUGUUAUUAAUAUAUUCUCUUCAAGGUUACCCAACCUGCAAGUAGACUUAAGACUGACAUGUCAACUUGACUGACAUAUUACAAUCAUGCAAGUUGCUAAUAACAAAUCCUGCAAGAAACAAGCAAGUGGCUCGCAUCCAUCACCCUACUCGGGCAACCACAAAAAAUAAACUAUUUAAAUCCUUGCAUGGAUGCAAAGUUUCUUUUAUAAAUAUAAAACUUAGAUUCUCAUAAAAUCUGCAAAUCUGAUGUCAAGUAAUUUACUCAAUCAGCUUAGAUAUAGCGGUAUCUAAACCAUGCUUGACUUGGUUUCAGCAACUCCACCCUUUGUUUUCAAGGCAUGAAGCAUGCGACCAUCCUCGAGCACUCUAGAUAAUUUCAAGAGAAAUUAUUGCAUGCACAUGGCGAUGCUACUGCACACCACUAAUCGCCGAAAUGCACUUGCAUUGAUUCCAUUCAUCCCACACUCAUUUGAGUGAUUGGCCCACACCUAUGCACC
rnacentral:lncRNA from 1 species